GGGGGAUAUUGCACAAUGGAGGAAACUCUGAUGCAGCAACGCCGCGUGAGGGAAGAAGGUCUUCGGAUUGUAAACCUUUGUCCUUGGUGACGAAACAAAUGACGGUAGCCAAGGAGGAAGCUCCGGCUAACUACGUGCUAGCAGCCGCGGUAAUACGUAGGGAGCAAGCGUUGUCCGGAUUUACUGGGUGUAAAGGGUGCGUAGGCGGCUCUGCAAGUCAGGCGUGAAAACUAUGGGCUUAACCCAUAGACUGCGUUUGAAACUGUGGGGCUUGAGUGAAGUAGAGGUAGGCGGAAUUCCCGGUGUAGCGGUGAAAUGCGUAGAGAUCGGGAGGAACACCAGUGGCGAAGGCGGCCUGCUGGGCUUUAACUGACGCUGAGGCGCGAAAGCGUGGGGAGCAAAC
rnacentral:rRNA from 1 species